rnacentral:rRNA from 1 species
CCCUUAGAUGUUCUGGGCCGCACGCGUGCUACACUGAGUGGAUCAGCGGGUCAGGUUGCGCGAAAGUGUUUCCUAAUCUUGAAAUCCGCUCGUGAUGGGGAUUGACGGUUGCAAUUUUCCGUCAUGAACGAGGAAUACCUUGUAAGCGCGGGUCAUCAUCCCGCGCUGAAUACGUCCCUGCCCUUUGUACACACCGCCCGUCGCUCCUACCGAUUGAGUGGUCCGGUGAGGCUUUGGGAUCUGAGCAAAAAGAGCGUUUCGCUCGUUUGGCUCGGGAAACUCAGUCGAACCUUAUCAUUUAGAGGAAGGAGAAGUCGUAACA